CAAUAGCGUAUAUUAAAGUUGUUGCAGUUAAAAAGCUCGUAGUUGGAUUUCUGGUGGGAGCGAUCGGUCUGGCGCUUAGCGCGAGUACUUGCAUCGUCUCCGGCCAUCCUUGGGGAGAGUCUGUCUGGCAUUAGGUUGUCGGGCAGAGGAUCCUCAUCGUUUACUGUGAAAAAAUUAGAGUGUUCGAAGCAGGCUUAUGCCGUUGAAUAUAUUAGCAUGGAAUAAUAAGAUAGGACUUUGGUACUAUUUUGUUGGUUUGCGCACCAAAGUAAUGAUUAAUAGGGACAGUUGGGGGUAUUCGUAUUCCGUUGUCAGAGGUGAAAUUCUUGGAUUUACGGAAGACGAACUACUGCGAAAGCAUUUACCAAGGAUGUUUUCAUUAA
rnacentral:rRNA from 1 species